GAGGAGGCCAAGGUAUUCUGAAAUGAAAUCUAGUGCAUUGCCUCCACAGACGAGGUCAAGAGCCGCCAUGAUUAACAUGUGCAACGACAUAGAACGAGGACGCCCGAGUUUAGCGCCCUCAAUUCCCAACGGUCGUCCACUCCGAGGCAUCUUCAAUUGAACAGAGGCAACCAGUCCAACUCCAACACCCUCACCGCCAUCAUAACCUGGGUCAUUGGACUGACGAAAUCAGACAGCCACGUCUUGUUCUUUAGAAAUCAGUUCAGUCCAUGUGGACAUGCGGAGAGCGAUGAACUCAAGCUCGGUCCUGUAGUAGCGCAGAGGGAGAAAAUGGAGAAAAUGACCGAGAUCGAGAGAAAUUCGGGUGACUCACGUGGCCUCCGAGACCAGGACCGAGAGAUUCGCUUGACGUAACCGCUCCUCCAGUUUCUCAGGACAAAGAUGAUGCAAGAAAAAUUUCUCAUUGGUUUUUGCGUCCUCACCCUGUCCUACCUGGGUUUCACCUCCACAUUAGGAAACCCUCUGACCAAUGGUCAGAAGUAUCUGCAAGUUCAGGAUCAGGGUCCUUUGACGUAACCUUACGAAAAACCAGGAGAUGCGUUGACGCUUAUCCUGCUUGCAAGAGUGGAUGGAUGGAUGCCUCAGAGGGAUCUCUCGUGUGUGCAAGUCCCGAAAGUAACUCGAAACGCGCAGGAUUUCUCCACCCCGGUCCGCACCUCGAUGGAUUCGACCAAAUUCUCAGGCGUCAAAGUCAGGACAAAGUCAAAUCGUACGCCAUUUGAAGUUCAAUGACGAACUCUUGCUCAGGUGGAGGAAAAAGUGGACGCAUCCAGGAAGAGGCGGAAAAGCGAUGACGCUUGGUAGGAAGUGGACGGGUUCUCGCCUGGUUUUUGGUCAUGAACCUCGUAGCGAGGACAAGGAAAUACCUUGAACUUGCGUCAGCACAAUUGAAUAGAGCGACCUCGUGACGCAUAUUCAAGUUCAUGGGAGAAGGGAAUAUCACUUGCAGAGGAGAAUAGAUAGGACACUAGAGAUUCCCCAGUUCCAUGGAUGGCAUGGUUUUUGCUGUGUAUUUGAGAAGAAAAAAAAAGAACCUAUAAAUGUUUAUGUUGUUAAAGAUGAGAACGAUAGUUUAAAGAAAGAGGUCAGGUACGGUGAGUGAAAAUGGGAAUUGGGUAUGGGAGAAAGACAGCCAUAAUGAAGCCUAAGAAAACGCUUGAAAGUCGAAAAAAAAUAGACAACCCAAUCAUCCAUUACAUUCCGUCAACCUUGAUUAGUUACACUUUUUAGAUUCUGAAGUAUAUAAUAACAUUUAGUUUUGAACCUAUUCAUCCAUCGUUGCCUUGAUUACUCUCACCAAACCUAUCGUAAAUACCUGAGCUUUUAGAAGAGCUGCGUAAAGAUAGCCUGAACAGAGAACUGUCAUGAAAGAAGCUACGGAUGGAAUGGCUCGAGCAUCUAAACAAGUUUUCAUAGGUCAUGUUUGUGAUUCAUGUAGCACUACUGGAAGUGUUGAAUGCAAUCAUUUACAUAAGCCAAUGGACAUGAUAAAAUUCAUGAAGAAUAAGCAGCUCCCUCAUUGGAGGACACUGGACUGAAAGGACAUGUGGCUUUACAGUUACAUGACAGCACACAAUUUGAACUGACCGAGCAACGAAGCUGGGUUUGUCAACAAAAACUCGAUCUUGACAGAGAACAUCGGAAUGGCUGCCAUAUCUGCAGGAGAUAAAGCAAAUGCCACGGAGAGCUGAUCUCAGUGAGGGGCAUGGUCUCAGGAGUGCUCAAAAAUUGGAAAUGAAUCAGGAGCCAGGCAUCAAUUUCAAGAAGUGGAAGCACGUCUUCCGGGCGCAGAAUUGGAACCAUGUGGGAGCGACCCUUCUUGCGGCAAUAUCUUGGUGGUCUGAGGAGCAUUACAUCUACGUUCGACCGAAAUUAGUCCAAAAAGACUUUGUAGUGCUCUUCUUCACCGGGGCCUUUGGAAGCCUUCUACCCUCUUUUCAUGGAUAUGGUGCGUUAAUAGGCCUGUGCUUGGCUGGCUUCUAUAUUUUGUGGAGGAUUAGUCGCUGGAAGCCAUUUCACGAAGUACUACAGCAAGACUUGACUAGGAAGUUACAAAGGACAUUAGUAUCCAGUUUGGUGGACGUUUGUGCGAAACACUCGAUUGACCCAGAAGAUGGAACAACAUUGGUGAUCGAGCUGCGUCACGAAGACUCGCCGUUUUAUCAUGUGUUCAAAUCAACAAUAACUGAUUUUGUUAAACUCAAGUUAGACUAUCAAGAAUAAAAAUUGCAUUCUGAA